rnacentral:rRNA from 1 species
GACGAACGCUGGCGGCGUGCCUAAUACAUGCAAGUAGAACGCUGAAGAGAGGAGCUUGCUCUUCUUGGAUGAGUUGCGAACGGGUGAGUAACGCGUAGGUAACCUGCCUUGUAGCGGGGGAUAACUAUUGGAAACGAUAGCUAAUACCGCAUAACAAUGGAUGACACAUGUCAUUUAUUUGAAAGGGGCAAUUGCUCCACUACAAGAUGGACCUGCGUUGUAUUAGCUAGUAGGUGAGGUAACGGCUCACCUAGGCGACGAUACAUAGCCGACCUGAGAGGGUGAUCGGCCACCCUGGGACUGAGACACGGCCCAGACGCCUACGGGAGGCAGCAGUAGGGAAUCUUCGGCAAUGGGGGCAACCCUGACCGAGCAACGCCGCGUGAGUGAAGAAGGUUUUCGGAUCGUAAAGCUCUGUUGUAAGUCAAGAACGAGUGUGAGAGUGGAAAGUUCACACUGUGACGGUAGCUUACCAGAAAGGGACGGCUAACUACGUG